GAUCCAAGGGCUGGAAACAAAAGAGGCAGCUCGGAACGGGGGGGAAAGCAGUUCCCCCUUACAGUGGGUUGAAUACCAUCCUCCUUAAUUCACGUCCACCCAGAACCUCAGAACGUGACCUUAUUUGGAAAUAGGGUCUUGGCGGAUGUAAUUAAAGUUCAGAUGAGGUCACGCUGGAUUAGGGAGGGUCCAACCCAAUGACUGGUGUCUUUAUAAGAAGAGAAACAGAGACAGACACGCACAGAGGAGAAGCCAUAUGAGGAUGGCCGGAGCUGGAGCGAGGCGUCCACCCGCCGAGGAACACCACGGAUUGCCUGCAGCCACGGGAAGCAGGGGAGAGGCCUGGGACGGACUCUCCUUGGCGGCCGCAGAAGGAACCAACCCUGCCGACUCCUUGAUCUCGGACUUCCAGCUUCUGAACGUGAGAGGCGUGUGGCUUUAAUACAAGAUGGCUGGAUUCUUCUGCUUCUGCACUCGAUCUGUUGUUUUAUAUUAUCUGGGUUGGUGUAUAAGAAGAAAAGCCGGCCUCACACAGUUCCAGGCGCAAGAUGAUCAGUUGGAUCAGAUGGAGAUCAGAUGGAAUUCACACUUUAACAUCAUUUCCAAAAGCCAGCCAUCCAAAUUCCAGACUCCGGUCUGGAAAAGGAUGGUUCUUCAACAGCUCGGAUGGAGGAGCAGGAAAGAGAGGGCAUCUUGGUUUGAGACCUGAACGUGUCCUUGGAAGUGACCUCGUCCUGCCUCCCUCCAGGGGGAGGGGGAGGCCUGUGCUUUGCUGGGAGGGACCUGUCACCUCUGCCCAGGGUGGCCCUGGAGUGCCUUGUGUGCCAUCCAGGCCCUGGCUGCCCUGGCCAGUGUCUGUUCCCACCCAGCUGAUCCAAACUCUUAGUCUGAAAUUUGCCUCCUGGGAUGCCCACUGCAGACAGAUGCCCACGGCGGGCAUGAGACUCCUCUGGUCCGUCCAGCGUCCCGCCGAGGGAGGAUCAGGGAUGAGUAAGCAGAAGGGCGGAGAAGGACAGCGACCUGAUGCAAGUCACACGGCUUAGGGCUGUGACCCCUGGGACCUGCGCAAGUGACCUUAAUGGGUGUUUGCAGAUGCAGUUACUUUAAGGGUCUCAAGAUGUGAUUACCUUGGAUUAGGGGGCCCUGAAUCCAAUGCCUGGUGUCCUUGUGAGAAAGCAGAGGGAGACGUGACACACAGGCACACGGGAGGGACGCAGCCACGGGCCAAGGAUGCCAGGAGCCACCAGCAGCUGAAAAGGAAGGAAGGAUCCACCCCCAGAACUCUGGGAGACAGCAUGGCCCUGCUGACACCUUGAUUCCAACUUCCAGCCUCCAGAACUGCUGUUUAAUCCACCCAGUGUGGUCAUGUGUUACGGCAGCCCCAGGACCCUGAUGCAGGCCCUGCAACUAUAGACUCGUUUCCAUGGAGACGUCCAGGGCUCAGAGGGUUCCUGACAGGCGUUUCCAAUAAUGGGAACUUCCACAGGCACUGAGGCCCGAGGCGGGAUCAGGCCUGGGCCUGAGGUUGACGCGCGUGUGCUGCUCCCUGGGCCCCGCCCCUGGCCACUGCCCGCUGCUCACCUGCUUACAGGGGCCUCGCCUGGAACUGAAUCCUGAACCCCAGAAUCUCUCCAACCUGGAGCAGGUCACAGAGCCCCGGACCUGGCCACACUCCACCCGGGCCUGGAGCUCGGGGCGUGGUUGGCUCUGAUGGGGUCCCCAGGGCAGUUCUGGCCGCGACAGAGUGGGGCCCGAGGGGCAGGGGACGCUUGUUGGACAAAGGCCCUGCCUCUACACAUGCCUCUUCAGAGGCAGCGACGCUCGGGGAAAGCGCCCGUGUGCCUUCAGCUGCACUGGCCCCCGCCCCAGGGCCUGGCCGGUCCUCUGUCUCCACGGUUCGGGCUCCCGCCCCAGGGUCUGGCCGGUCCUCUGUCUCCAUGGUUCGGGCGCCGAGCAUCCAGCAUCGUCACUGGCCUCGUCUCAGCCCCGAGCGCGUGCUGUGUGCAGGGAACUAGCAGAGGCACCUGCAGGCAUGAGCUCAGCUCACGGAACUUGCAAUCCAGCAGGAGGGAGCAAACCUGUGCUGCCGGCAGGAACCCGCAAGCGCCCGAGGGAAAUUCAAGUAGGGGACGGUGACCCGGGUCUCUGCAAGGAGGCAGUGCUGGUCCAAGUACAGGCAUCUCCUUGGGGAAGAGGCAGUCUGAAGAGGACCAGCGCAGUGGGUCCCCAGAGCCCCCUCUCGUUCGCCUGGGCUCUCCUGGGCCGGGGGCAGGGGCUCCUCGGGCCAGUCUAGGGGCUCCGGCGCCCCUCCAUCUGCUCCAGGUCAGCGGGACCGGCAGGCCCAGGCCAGCCUCCUUGAGAGUCUCAUGGUGCGGAGGACAAACUGUGUGCAGACUCGGAGGGCAAAACCCCUCCCCUUCCUUGAGGACGGACCUGGGACCCUCCCGCUGUGACGGGGAGAUUCCUACAGCUCAGACACGGGAACCCCUGCCCACGUCUUGUUGCUGGUGAAGCGCCAGGGCAGCGGGAGCCCAGCGCUCGGCCCAGCUCACGUCCAGUCCUCGGCCGUGGGCUGCCCCUGCGACUCCUGCCUCUGUGCCAGCCGAACCCAGUCUCCCCGUGUGCCCGUCAGGCCACCGCCAUCCACAGUGUCAGGCCUGAGUGCGUCCCUCUGGUCCAGGAACCCCUCCCCAUUCCCAAGCACAAGGCUUCAGCAGCUGUCGCCUCAUCCCAGCAUGGGGUUCAUUCAGCCCUGUGGGCUCCUCUGCCCCACUCGGUGUCUCCCAUCCAGGCCACUGCGGGCAGGGCCAGACUCAUUCACUUCCAUGGGUCCCGCGUAGGGAACAGGGGGCCACCACAGGCCACGUGGGGGUCGUACCCGCUCCACGCUGGGUGGACCUGGGGCCAAAUGAAAACGUGGGGCCUUGGUCAAGACUAUUGCAGGUGCCCAGGCAGUGACAGCAGCGUACCCACCCGGCGGGCCCUUCUGCGCACACCGGCCGCGAGCCGCGGGGCAGGCCCAGCAGCGGACACGCAGCCGCAGGUGGCGCGUUCUGCAUCGCGCUGGGGCCGGACUCGGGGCCCUUCCCUCCUCACCCUCAUCCCAGCAGCCCCCAACCACGCCCCACUUUCUUGGGAUGCUUUAAUUUCUCACGCAUUCUGAACAGAGAAGCGUGAACGUGCACCACUCAGGUCACUGACUCAUCCAAGUGUUGUU